GGAAUUGCAAAGAUAGGGAGUAGUAGUCGGAACGCCCUUCAGAGAGUGGAACUGCAGCGCUGAGAGGUUCCUCAGGAUACAUCCGAUCGAAGUCGCCCUGGAGCAGUAAAUGUGAGUGCAAUCGCCGAGAUUCAUAUCUCGCCUGCAUUAGCAUUUUCCGGUCGCAGCCGUUAUCUGUUUAAGUGUCAUGUUAUUUGCUAUUGGGGCAAGUCGCAUGAAAUGAAGGUGGUACCACGGAAGCUAUACCUUUCGUCCUUUUU
rnacentral:ncRNA from 1 species